GACGAACGCUGGCGGCGUGCUUAACACAUGCAAGUCGAACGGAAAGGCCCUGCUUUUGUGGGGUGCUCGAGUGGCGAACGGGUGAGUAACACGUGAGUAACCUGCCCUUGACUUUGGGAUAACGUCAGGAAACUGGGGCUAAUACCGGAUAGGAGCUCCUGCUGCAUGGUGGGGGUUGGAAAGUUUCGGCGGUUGGGGAUGGACUCGCGGCUUAUCAGCGUGUUGGUGGGGUAGUGGCUUACCAAGGCUUUGACGGGUAGCCGGCCUGAGAGGGUGACCGGCCCCAUUGGGACUGAGCUACGGCCCCGCCUCCUACGGGCGGCAGCAGUGGGGAAUAUUGCACACUGCGCGGCCGCCUGAUGCAGCCACGCCGCGUGCGGGAUGACGCCCUUCGGGUUGUAAUCCGCUUUCGCCUGUGACGAAGCGUGAGUGACGGUAAUGGGUAAAGAAGCACCGGCUAACUACGUG
rnacentral:rRNA from 1 species